AGUGAACGCUGGCGGUAGGCCUAACACAUGCAAGUCGAACGGCAGCACAGUAAGAGCUUGCUCUUACGGGUGGCGAGUGGCGGACGGGUGAGGAAUACAUCGGAAUCUACUUUUUCGUGGGGGAUAACGUAGGGAAACUUACGCUAAUACCGCAUACGACCUACGGGUGAAAGCAGGGGAUCUUCGGACCUUGCGCGAUUGAAUGAGCCGAUGUCGGAUUAGCUAGUUGGCGGGGUAAAGGCCCACCAAGGCGACGAUCCGUAGCUGGUCUGAGAGGAUGAUCAGCCACACUGGAACUGAGACACGGUCCAGACUCCUACGGGAGGCAGCAGUGGGGAAUAUUGGACAAUGGGCGCAAGCCUGAUCCAGCCAUACCGCGUCGGUGAAGAAGGCCUUCGGGUUGUAAAGCCCUUUUGUUGGGAAAGAAAAGCAGCAGGUUAAUACCCCGCUGUUCUGACGGUACCCAAAGAACAAGCACCGGCUAACUUCGUG
rnacentral:rRNA from 1 species